UGUGUUUUUGUAUGGAAAUUGCCUGCUCCAUUUCUUCUAGAAUAUUGGAGAAAAUAACGGAAAAAAAUAAUCCAUUGUCUCCAAGAAGUUUUGUUCAGCCUCCCGCUUAUAGUUAUCCAUCGUUUUGCAAAGAAGAACGCCAGCAUUCCAAGAUCAAUCCUGAGGAUGUUUGGUUAAUGAGUAACAAGAGCCAAAGUGGGGAUGGAAUGCUUUAUCCUGAAAGCAGUCAUAGAGAGGCUUCAUCUUUUAAAUUUAGUGUUUGAAGACUUCCCAAAUGGACUCAAGCAAAAGUGACUAGUUCCAUUCAUGCCAGCAAGAAUCUUAAUUGCGCUUCAUUAGAGGCAUAUAUACUCAAAUAUUUAUUUUAUUGUUUCUGAGAAACUCUGUUGUAUUUUAAUCCUGAAUCCCCCUACCCACAAUAGUAUUUUGAAGAUUCAGAAGCUAGUUUAUAUCAUAUUGGAAAUUGAAAUAUGGAGAUCGAUCUAUACUUGAGUAGAACUAUAUGUACUGGUCAGCAUGUUCAAGAACAGAUAUAUCUCCAUCAUUGAAGAGUACAAGUUAAUUAUUUUUGGUCUGAAACUUGUGUUUUAGUGGACGUUUCAGUUUCAGAAUGUGCAAGAGAACUAAUUCCUUCUUAUAAUGAAAUUAUGCUAAGCCAGUUGUCCAGGUUCCUUGUCAUUUGCAGGAGAGAAAAUCAAGUCACUGUCAAACCAUGUCUAGUAAUUAAAGUUUCUGGUAUUGGAGUGUUAACAAAAUCUGCAUCUGAUGGUUAUUAUUCUCUUUCUGGAGUAACAAGAUAUUAAGCCCAAAGCCACAAUAGUGUUAGGAUUUUCUAAGUCAACUGUAAUAUCUUUUGCAUUUAUGAUUAUUAGGCAUAUCUCCUUCACCCCCUGAAGUUCAAAUUCCAUCCGAUCAUGCUUCUCCAUUGCCUGAUACUCUGAACUCUCAAGAUUCUUCAAGCUUUGGAGGAACUUGCAGGACGACAUAAGGCUGUGAUUAGUGAGGACAAGAAUUCCUUUGGGCUUAAUAACCUUAGCAAGAACGAAAAGAGUGGUGUUGCUCCAGACCAAUAUGUUGGUUGCAACAAUAAUGAUGCUUCUUGGUGUUCUGAAGAAGUUUCUGAGAGUAAAGCAGAGCAGUUAUAUUUAAGUGAAUCUGGAAGUGUGUCAGAAAUAACUACUGAUGGCAAUUUGAGCAGUCUACCAUCUGAAGAAGACAUGUUUAAGCAACAUUUUGGUAGCUUAUCAAAUACACACAAGGUAAAGUCGAGUAAUUCAUUAGUUAGAAGGUUUUCUGCAGGAUAUAUUGUGCAAUGGGAUUGCAAGAAACUGUUUAGCAGUCCUGUUAGGAAUAAAGGUGCAACUCAUACUGUAUCAGAAGAAUGAUCCUUGCAGGUUAAGGAAACUGAGGAAGUGAGACAUUCUUCUGAAGAGCUAUGUAUGAGGGCAACAUAAAGACUUUAAAACUAUGCCCUUCCUUUUGCAAUCGAACAUGAUGAAAGCACUUUGAAGAAUAUUAGGUUUGGUAGUAAAAAGAAAGUUAUUGUUCUUUCAAUUAUCCCUUAUGGGGUCAUGUUUCAUAUGAACAUAGGCAUUUUAAGUUGCCUAAUAAAUGUACUAACAGAAGCAGUGAUACUUUAAACCUGUUUCCUUAAUAUAUUAUAUGCAUUCUGACUCCUUAA